UAAGAGUACGCGUGACACCACAGAACAGAAAUUGAGUGCGAAAGUGAAAGGCCUAGAGGAUUAUGUGACCUAAGUCUCACCGCCAAACUCACACCUUUUGCUCCUUUGUUAUAAAUAAGAUAGUAAGGAGAGCCAUAUUGCUUAUGGGUGUCCAAAACACACACACACACUCUCUCUCUCUCUCUCUCUCUCUCUCUCUCUCUCAUGAGAGAGGGGGUAGAUGCAGGUUGUGGGCAUAUGAAGGUGGGUGUUGAGCAAGAUGGAGAAGCAGGGCACGUGCAUUACUAACUCAUGCACACACCCAAUCUCCCUUUCAUCCCUACUACUUCCUGCAGUUCUUACACAUCCACAUACAUAAUUAUAUGUAUAUAUAUACACACAUUUGUGUGUGUAUGUGUGUUCAGAUUGUGUGUGUGGCUCUCAGUGAUGAGUUGGUGCUUCAUGUGCCCCCCUUCCCCAUCAUGACCACUCCACCUUACUACCAUCUGAUUCCAACACCAACAAGAGAAUUCCGGCGGUUGUCGCAAAAAUUUCUGGAAAAAAAAAAAAAGAACGAAUGAAUCUUCGUAGGGUUCACAAGAAAUUUCGCUGAAUCGUUCAAAAAGUUCACAUAUAUCCCGGGAAAGCUUCAUUUUCAGAGCUGGUUGAAGUUGGAUUGUACUUGGCAGUUUAUAAAUUUGUAUUCCACCACAAGCAAGGCGCGGUGCGCUUCUCAGGGAUACAAACAUACACAUACGGACACAAAGAUAGAGGUGUAGAGCUAUCGGACCAACAGGGGCACGACACGUUCAGAAACUGGCGUUCUCCAUCUCAUGACACAGUGAUAGCGAUGCCACCGGCGACUCUGAUGACGUGCAAAUGCUGAAAUGUUUGUAGAAGUGCUAGGAAUAAGUCUUAACUGAUCAAGAACUUCAUUGAUCUGAUGUAUGGAUUGGAGCGUGAAGUUUGACUUUAUCUUGUUAUGUCGGCCAUGUCAUAUUUCUAGUAGAUUCAUCAGUAGGGGUACUAGCUAGUGGUAUUUUUAUCCAGAUCUUUAACCUAGCAGGUCGUGGCGACUCCGAUGUAAUUAAUUUUGUCAUUCUUCUAUAGUUAGAUCAUCGCGAAAAACGGAACGUGGAUGUAGAAUAUUGCAUCAAGUGAUGAACUUGGGUGUUCUUGUGUGGUUUUUAUUUCAUAUUCCGCGCUUUGUUUUACAUUGAAGUCUACUAAUUAUUUCUGUCUCAA